AACGAACGCUGGCGGCAUGCCUAACACAUGCAAGUCGAACGAGACCUUCGGGUCUAGUGGCGCACGGGUGCGUAACGCGUGGGAACCUGCCCUUAGGUUCGGAAUAACUCCCCGAAAGGGGUGCUAAUACCGGAGAAUGUCUUCGGACCAAAGAUUUAUCGCCUUUGGAUGGGCCCGGGUUGGAUUAGCUAGUUGGGAGGGUAAAAGCCUACCAAGGGGACGAUCGAUAGCGGGUUUGAGAGGCAGAUCCGCCACACUGGGACUGGGCCACGGCCCGGACUCCUACGGGAGGCAGCAGUGGGGAAUCUUGGACAGUGGGCGAAAGCCUGAUCCACCAAUGCCGCGUGAGUGAUGAAGGCCUUAGGGUUGUAAAGCUCUUUUACCCGGGAUGAUAAUGACAGUACCGGGAGAAUAAGCUCCGGCUAACUCCGUG
rnacentral:rRNA from 1 species